rnacentral:lncRNA from 1 species
CCAUGCUGUGUUUCACUGAGAAAAUGGCAAUACUGGUGCUGCUUAUAUAUAAGGUAGGAUUCCCCUCUCACAGAUAGCCACAGCUUUCUUUAAAAGAAGGUACAUUUCCCGAGGAUUAAUCAUUAGGGAAAUUAUUGGUUUCUCCAUUAGCCAGAGUUGUGCAUCACCAGCAACAGAAACCAGCUAUAGCUGACUUAAAGGGAAAAGAAACAUAAAUAUUGGAUAGCUCACAAUAUCAUAAAGAUGACUGAAGAGAUGGUGAGAGAAACAUAAACUAUUUGUAAAUUCUACUCAUUUCCUCCAUAAAAGGGAAUGCAAAAUGUCAUUGAUUUGGGUUAGUUGUACUUCCUAUAUUACAUAAGUAUCACGAUUUGGGGUGACUUUUUACAAGGAGAUAGCAUUAUUUAAUCGUUUUUGAUUUGGGGAGUUAAAAAAGUAUCUUUGCUUUUUGUGCUGGUAGGUGCAUUAUAGGGUCUAAAGUUUUUUUCCUACCUUCCUUCUCACAGGUAGAGAACCUCCUUCUACUACCAUCAAAGUCCUUGAUCUGUUUCCCAACAUGAAUUAACCUUUCCAUGUUUUCGUUACAUUUGAACAUCAGGAAUGUGUAGACGGAAGCAGUUCAUCCUGGGAGGUGAGAAUGAGCAUUGAAAGAGCCAUCCGUGAAACCGUAAGGCUGGGAAAGAGAAGUGAAGGGGCACAUGGAAGUGUUCAUCUCUGGGGCAGGGAAAAACAAUCCGGAGAAGAUGAGUCACACCUCAUUUGUAACCCAUGAAUGAAAAUCAAUACUGUUACUUAUCAUAAAUUACACUGAACAUAGUGCUUACACUUGAGUAUCAAUGCAGUAAAACCACUAUGAGCCAAUUGAUUGACUUUUCUAGAUCCCAAUUCUAUCAUUCAUCUUCUGGUAUUCAUCUUCUGGCUUAGCUACUAUUUCCUGGCACAGAUUCUUAAUAAAGAUCCUUUCUCCUUGGUCCCAGAUGUAACCCUGUGGUGUAUGGUCUGGCAUUUUAGGGGAUAUCUAUCUCUUCUGUUCUUACCUCAGUGUCCUGAAUCAUGCAUACUCGUCGCUCUAACCUAUUGAGCCUAGGAGACAGGAACAAACAAAAUAGAAGGGGUUCUAGGAAGCUUGGUGUUUCUCUGCCUCCC